GUGGGGAAUAUUCCGCAAUGGACGAAAGUCUGACGGAGCAACGGCGCGUGAGUGAUGAAGGUUUUCGGACUGUAAAGCUCUGUUGUUUAGGACGAAAGUGCCUGUUGCAAAUAGUUACAGGUAUUGACGGUACUGAACGAGGAAGCCACGGCUAACUACGUGCCAGCAGCCGCGGUAAUACGUAGGUGGCAAGCGUUGUCCGGAAUUAUUGUGCGUAAAGAGCAUGUAGGCGGGAAUCUAAGUCUGUUGUGAAAAUGCGGGGCUCAACCCCGUAUUGCGAUGGAAACUGGGUUUCUUGAGUGCAGGAAAGGAAAGGGGAAUUCCCAGUGUAGCGGUGAAAUGCGUAGAUAUUGGGAGGAACACCAGUGGCGAAGGCGCCUUUCUGGACUGUGUCUGACGCUGAGAUGCGAAAGCCAGGGUAGCGAACGGGAUUAGAAACCCGUGUAGUCC
rnacentral:rRNA from 1 species